rnacentral:rRNA from 1 species
GGUAGAAUUCCAGGUGUAGCGGUGAAAUGCGUAGAGAUCUGGAGGAAUACCGGUGGCGAAGGCGGCCCCCUGGACAAAGACUGACGCUCAGGUGCGAAAGCGUGGGGAGCAAACAGGAUUAGAUACCCUGGUAGUCCACGCCGUAAACGAUGUCUACUUGGAGGUUGUGCCCUUGAGGCGUGGCUUCCGGAGCUAACGCGUUAAGUAGACCGCCUGGGGAGUACGGCCGCAAGGUUAAAACUCAAAUGAAUUGACGGGGGCCCGCACAAGCGGUGGAGCAUGUGGUUUAAUUCGAUGCAACGCGAAGAACCUUACCUGGUCUUGACAUCCACAGAACUUUCCAGAGAUGGAUUGGUGCCUUCGGGAACUGUGAGACAGGUGCUGCAUGGCUGUCGUCAGCUCGUGUUGUGAAAUGUUGGGUUAAGUCCCGCAACGAGCGCAACCCUUAUCCUUUGUUGCCAGCGAUUA